AGCUUUUCGAAUCCGUGCUGAGAUCUCGUCAGACACCAACCCAUUAGGGCUGAUCAGACUUGAAGAGCGGUAAGACU
rnacentral:pre_miRNA from 1 species